GUGGGUUUUAGAAGAUCUAUAAAGGCAAGAAGCCUAGUUACUUAAACAAAGUUUAUCAGCAGAUUUGAACCAACCAAAGCUAAUUUCCUUGCUACCGACUAUACAGAGAUAAUUUACUGGAACACUACUACGCUUUUGCCGCAACCUUUGCUGUGAAGAAACUUAGAUGAAGAUACUUGGUCGCGGCUGAGUGGAACUUUGAAAAGUACCCAUGUCACACCUAAGCAGUAAAACGAUGCGUAAAGCUUGUAACAGAGGCUUCACAAAAAAUAUUAACUAAAGAGUUUAUUCAAUUUCAAUUCAUUUGUUAAAAAAUAUAAAAAGGGAAAAUUUCUUCAAUUAUUCAAGCUCCUGACGUAAAAAGAUAAGUUAAAAAGAGGACAACUAAAAACUGAAAACUUCAAAAUAGUUAAACUCCUCGGGUCAGGUGGAUAUGGAAAGGUCUAUCUUUGUACUGAAAAAAAUACAGGCGAAAAAUUUGCAAUGAAAUGCAUUGAGUCUGAAAACACUGAUCGUAACGUAAUAGCACAACAAGUGGAACAACUAAAGCAAGAAAUUUCUGUUUUUAAAACAUUAAACCAUAUACGAAUUGUGAAAUACUAUGGGUUUACUUAUGAUAGCACAUCAAUCUCUAUUUUAAUGGAAUACAUGGAAGGGGUAUAUAAGUUUUGUUAAUUUUUUUUUUAUGAACUGUUUAUCUUUAAUUGUU
rnacentral:misc_RNA from 1 species